UUUAAGCACGGCCAUGAGUUUUCAUGUCUAACUUUAAUCGUCCGUAUUAUUUGAAUUUUUUAUUAUUAGUAUUUUUAUUGUUAUUACAUAAUAAAAUAUGAAUAGUGACUUAUAUUUUUUAAAACUUUUUAAGAAAAUCAAAUAAGAUGUGCGAUUAAAAUUAAACACAGAAACUCAUGGCUACACUUAAA
rfam:Oryza meridionalis cultivar OR44 (W2112) chromosome 9, whole genome shotgun sequence.